GACGUAGGGAGCCAGCGUUGUCCGGAUUUACUGGGCGUAAAGGGCGCGUAGGCGGUCUGUUAAGUGUGAAGUGAAAUCUCCAGGGCUCAACCCGGAAACCGCUUCGCAUACUGGCAGACUGGAGGAAGGCAGAGGUAACUGGAAUUCCUGGUGUAGCGGUGAAAUGCGUUGAUAUCAGGAGGAACUCCAAUGGCGAAGGCAGGUUACUGGGCCUUAUCUGACGCUGAGGCGCGAAAGCGUGGGUAGCAAACAGG
rnacentral:rRNA from 1 species